UAAUCUAGGGUUUCAAACCUCAUAGAGAGGGGACGGCAACUUGGUUCUGCGCUGGACAUCUCUUCGUUUGAUCUCGUGGCAAUGCGGCGUUGUGCGAUUCCGUGGAUCGGCGGCGGCUUGCAAAUGGUCAAUUUCAGAGCCCUAACACCACCAUUGCAACGGUGGUGUUAGUGGUUCGAUGGUCUGUGUAGAGGAUGAGGUGGAUUGUGGUGAUAAGUGGAGGGUAAGGAUGGUAAUGGUUGGGUUUGGGU
rnacentral:lncRNA from 1 species